rnacentral:rRNA from 1 species
AGUGAACGCUGGCGGUAGGCCUAACACAUGCAAGUCGAACGGCAGCACAGUAAGAGCUUGCUCUUACGGGUGGCGAGUGGCGGACGGGUGAGGAAUACAUCGGAAUCUACUUUUUCGUGGGGGAUAACGUAGGGAAACUUACGCUAAUACCGCAUACGACCUACGGGUGAAAGCAGGGGAUCUUCGGACCUUGCGCAAUUGAAUGAGCCGAUGUCGGAUUAGCUAGUUGGCGGGGUAAAGGCCCACCAAGGCGACGAUCCGUAGCUGGUCUGAGAGGAUGAUCAGCCACACUGGAACUGAGACACGGUCCAGACUCCUACGGGAGGCAGCAGUGGGGAAUAUUGGACAAUGGGCGCAAGCCUGAUCCAGCCAUACCGCGUGGGUGAAGAAGGCCUUCGGGUUGUAAAGCCCUUUUGUUGGGAAAGAAAAGCAGCAGGUUAAUACCCCGCUGUUCUGACGGUACCCAAAGAAUAAGCACCGGCUAACUUCGU